rnacentral:rRNA from 1 species
UAGGGAAUCUUCCACAAUGGACGCAAGUCUGAUGGAGCAACGCCGCGUGAGUGAAGAAGGUUUUCGGAUCGUAAAGCUCUGUUGUUGGUGAAGAAGGAUAGAGGAAGUAACUGGCCUUUAUUUGACGGUAAUCAACCAGAAAGUCACGGCUAACUACGUGCCAGCAGCCGCGGUAAUACGUAGGUGGCAAGCGUUGUCCGGAUUUAUUGGGCGUAAAGCGAGCGCAGGCGGAAGAAUAAGUCUGAUGUGAAAGCCCUCGGCUUAACCGAGGAACUGCAUCGGAAACUGUUUUUCUUGAGUGCAGAAGAGGAGAGUGGAAUUCCAUGUGUAGCGGUGGAAUGCGUAGAUAUAUCGAAGAACACCAGUGGCGAAGGCGACUCUCUGGUCUGCAACUGACGCUGAGGCUCGAAAGCAUGGGUAGCGAACAG